UACGUAGGGGGCAAGCGUUGUCCGGAUUUAUUGGGCGUAAAGAGCGUGUAGGCGGCCUGAAAGGUCAGCUGUGAAAACUCGAGGCUCAACCUCGAGACGUCGGUUGAAUCCAUCUGGCUAGAGUCCGGAAGAGGAGUGUGGAAUUCCCGGUGUAGCGGUGAAAUGCGCAGAUAUCGGGAAGAACACCCGUGGCGAAGGCGGCACUCUGGGACGGUACUGACGCUGAGACGCGAAAGCGUGGGGAGCGAACAGG
rnacentral:rRNA from 1 species